rnacentral:rRNA from 1 species
UGGGGAAUAUUGCACAAUGGAGGGAACUCUGAUGCAGCGACGCCGCGUGAGUGAUGAAGGAAUUCGUUUCGUAAAACUCUGUUCUAUGGGAAGAAAAGGACUGUACCAUAGGAGAAAGCUCCGGCUAAAUACGUGCCAGCAGCCGCGGUAAUACGUAUGGAGCGAGCGUUGUCCGGAAUUAUUGGGCGUAAAGGGUGCGCAGGCGGCUUUACAAGUUGGAUGUGAAAUAUUGUGGCUCAACCACAAACGUGCAUCCAAAACUGCAAAGCUUGAGUUAAGGAGAGGUAAGUGGAAUUCCUGGUGAAGCGGUGGAAUGCGUAGAUAUCAGGAGGAAUACCGGUGGCGAAGGCGACUUACUGGACAUAAACUGACGCUCAGGCACGAAAGCGUGGGGAGCAAACAGG